GGGCCCGUAGUCUAGCGGUUAUGAUGCCCGCCUUACACGCGGGUGGUCCCGGGUUCGAAUCCCGGCGGGCCCACCA
rnacentral:tRNA from 1 species